AGCGAACGCUGGCGGCAGGCCUAACACAUGCAAGUCGAACGAACUCUUCGGAGUUAGUGGCGGACGGGUGAGUAACACGUGGGAACGUGCCUUUAGGUUCGGAAUAACUCAGGGAAACUUGUGCUAAUACCGAAUGUGCCCUUCGGGGGAAAGAUUUAUCGCCUUUAGAGCGGCCCGCGUCUGAUUAGCUAGUUGGUGAGGUAAAGGCUCACCAAGGCGACGAUCAGUGGCUGGUCUGAGAGGAUGAUCAGCCACAUUGGGACUGAGACACGGCCCAAACUCCUACGGGAGGCAGCAGUGGGGAAUCUUGCGCAAUGGGCGAAAGCCUGACGCAGCCAUGCCGCGUGAAUGAUGAAGGUCUUAGGAUUGUAAAAUUCUUUCACCGGGGACGAUAAUGACGGUACCCGGAGAAGAGGCCCCGGCUAACUUCGUG
rnacentral:rRNA from 1 species